GUGAGAGGGUGUUGAUCCUGGGCAUCCAAGGCUGGAAUAUUUAAGCACCCUAGGAUUUGGAGGAGGGAUGGCUGAGUGCCUGUGUGUCAGCGCCGUGACUGCUACGGAGCAAGGAUUAUACAAGAAGCGUGUGAAAAGCGGAGGGAAAUUUAAAAAGUAUCUGAGUCUCUGCUAGCCCAGCUUUGCCCUCUGCAGAGCCAUCACAGAGAGGGUGCCAUGCCUGAGAAAGCAUCUGCAGAGAUGAGCAUAGGCCUACAGAAGCACAGCUCUCCCAGAGUCACUUCCAAGAGGAAACAUCUCUAUGGGGAAGGGAAAUUCAAGUAUCAUUUGCUGGAGGACUCAAGGACCAUUCUCCAAGGGGAGGAGCACAAAUGCCUUCAAAGUGGUUAAAUAUAAAUCAGUGAUUAAAUAAUAUUAGCAUAUUAGCUAUUCAUUCAUGUGGGGACUCCACAUCUCCAAGGGACGUUCUCCUCCCAAAACUGUCAAAUCCCUCAUACUCUGUCCCUGGCUCUGUGGGGAUGCUGCUAUUUACACAGGAGCAGAGUAAUCUCCAUCCCUGGGGGAUGUGCUCCUGCCUAAUAGUGGACACUGUCCAGCAGGAUGGAAGUCUGUGUUUCAGUCUCUUUCUGCAGCAAACCCACAACUGAACUCCACUCUGUAGUAUUUUAGCUGUGAAACUUAAUCUACCAUUUUUAGCUUCUCUGGGCUGUGUUUGCACUGUUCUGGUGACAGUAGCAGAGGUUUAUCCUCAGUUCCUUGUGCACCCAGCUCUGGAUCCCUUAUCUGUGGGGUGGGACCCUUCUUUCUUGGUCUCCAUAAAAAUCUGAAAAACACAAUCUGAUCCAGAGGAAGAUAUGAAAUAGAUUUUCUCCUGUGGAGUGAAUCCUUUUGGCUGAUGCAACCAUAUAGCCAGGAGGACAGGCACAGAUAGACCAUGGUCAGGAUGCAAGCCACCUUCAGCCUGGAAGCCAGAUAGCCACAGAUAAUUCAUGUCAGGUUAGGCGACCUUCUGCAGCUCAUCACCUUGGGAAAUCAGCCUUUUCUCACCUCUGGCUCAGCACCAGCCUUUCAGCAGAGGGGAUGAAGAAAGCAGUGAGAGUGUGCUGGGUGAAGAGAAAGCCUACACCUUUACAUGUGAUUAAAUUAUUUUUGCUCCAGCUUUGGACCCCGUUGUGAGACAAGUGUGCAUGUCUGCAAAUGCUCCCUGGAAGGUAAAACGUGACAAAUUUGAGUCUAGCCAGCAAAAGCUCUCACCCAGGGUCUCUCAAAAUUCAGCAGGUUUUGUUUUGCUUACAAGUGUUAGCCCCCAGGAAGGGAGGGGCUGACCCUCCCAGUUGGUCCUGACACCCUCAGUGAUGAUCUGAUCGAGUGACAACUCAUCUUCCUGUGACUUGGCUUUCUGUAAUUAGAAGCUGUGGUGUGGAAAGGGAAGGAGUUAAAAAUAUUUGCUGAAUAUUUGAUCAUAAGGAUAGGAUUGAGUCAAACAUGCCAUAAAAUCCAGGAGUGCACCAGCUUGGCCACCAGAAAACAGAGUGAAGGCCAGGGGCAAGCAGCCUUUGGCAGCUACUGAGAGUGAAUUAAUCAGGCAUGCAGGACAACAGGGAGCCUGCAUGUCUGUUCUAAACCUACCCAGAUCUUCCACAAUGGUGUUAAAUGUUGACUGGCUGGCUAGCAAGUCAAAACUAUUGGUCAAGAAGUACCCUAAACCCAUACAGUCAUUUCACAAGAAAAGCCCCAGUUUCUGGGUGGUCUUUUAAUUCUUGCUACAUAUAUGAGCACCCCUUCUUGUGGCUCAAAUAGAAGCACAGCUUUAGACUGCUUGCCUAUAACCCUGUCACUGAGCUGAUCUGCUGCUAAGGUGAGGACCUCAGCAGAGAAAGAAAAGUGAGAUUCCAGCAGCAGGUUCCUGAAGCUCUGGCCAGGUUUCCAUCAGUGUUGGACAGUGUGGGCACAUGAGUGGGUUCACAGAGCCCUGUCCAGUUCAGGAAGAAAACACCUAAGAGCCACAUGAGCAUGUGCAGGAAGGCUUGGGACACCUCUGCAGAGAGAUCUGAGACCUGGCAGUCGGUCCAGACCAGCAAUUUAUGCAACUCUUUGGGAAAAAAAUAGAGAAAAGUGCCAAAAAAAAAAAUCUCUCCUGUGCCCCAAAACUGGUCCCAGGUGAGUCUGCUUUUUAGAGGAAUCUCCUUAUACUGCAUCACCAAGGAAGCAGCCCCGGCUGCCGCACAAGCAGAAGGCAAUCCUUCCAGAUUUAAUGCAACAGCCACAUGCAAUGACACACACAGUUCAUCACAGAGGCAGGUAGCAGGGCCCUGUGCUCUCAUUCAUAUGAAUAUAAUGCCUACAGCAAUGCAACACAUCAACAUUUUUAGAGCCAACAGUUUGACUUUCAUUGCUCCGUUAUUUUUAAUCGUUUUAAUCUGCGUUUCUAGCAUUCCGCUUCUUCUCUUUUUUUACUUCCAAACAAGACAAAAAGUAUGCAGCAGCUAAUACCUCUGUUUUUAAUGCCUUGAAAAACAAUGAAGGAACAUUAAGCAGUUCCCGAGCCUUCCGGAACACCGGUAUUUUUAAAGAUGAGAUUGAUCAAAGAGGCUGUGAACUCUAGUGGAGAUGGAUUGGCUCAGCACUGAAAUGCCAGCAUGGAGGCUGCUUCAGCGUGGAUCCCAGCAUUUUCCUUUCAUCUGCUUAGUGCUCCAGCGGCCAGAACUUCUGUGCUGAAACAAGACUCAGGCAAGUACAAAAAAAUCCUACAUUUCCUCUGAAAGUUCAGGGACAGGGAAAUAAUUAAUUAAUUUUUGUACCAGUUGAUUGUUGUUGCCACUGCUUCAAGCAGGGAGCAGAAGAAUCCUCUCGCUGAGGCUGCUCUCACAUGUCUGAGCUACCCCAGCCUGAGAGCAGCAGCUCAGCAGCCCGUGAGGAAGGAGAGGAGAGGAGAUUUUAGCCCAUUUAUAGCAACCUGAAGCACACCCCUGCUUCUGCCAUGACUCUGCCUGGUGUCCUGGUGUCCCAGGAGGAUCUUGGCAGCCUGUGCUGUGGGGAUGGCAAACACCCCUAUGGGAAGCAGCAGAGCUCCUGAGCCCACCUUGGAGCUGGUGUAAGGAGAGGCCAGUGAGGAUCUGCCUUGCCACCAGCACUGGGGAACACUUCACACCAUGCUGCUGCUGCCUCCUCCCCAGCUGUGCACACAGAGGAUUGUGGAGGAAUGCCUUGCCUCUUUCUGGCUGUCUGCUGAAAGGAGGACGAGUAUCCUAAAGAUUUUGGGCCUGUUUUCCUUUUUUUUUUUUUCUAUUUUCUGAGGGGUGAGGGGUGAAGAGAGAGGGGGAUGGCAAAGGGACCCAUCAGUUUUAUAGCAUCCUGACCAUCCAGUGGUACAGGAAGGUCCUGAUCUCAGACACCCUAUAUUUGCAGAACCAAAGGCAUGAGUCCUGUGUGCUAAAUGAGGUGAAAGCCAUCCACCCCUUGCUUCCAGGCAGUACCAGGACAUUGACAGGGACAAUUGUUUUGGCAGGGGACACAGCAUGUGCUGGCACUCACUCUGUACCUGCUGCCUCUUUAAAAUGUUCUCUACUGUAUUUCCCUGUGGCAGUGCUGUUGCUUUCUCCUCCUUGGGUAAAUCUGGAUGAGCUUUGGGGUGCACAGCAAAGUGACAAGGUGUGGAACAGCAACUGGCAGUAAAUUUUAUUUUGGUGGGAGAUUAAGGAGCAGAAGCAGCUCAUGAUAUACACACAGCACCCCGCAUGCAGUGGCACAAGUUUUCUGUAGCAGGGAUCUUAGAGUUUGAAAAGCCAGGUAGGAGGCCCAGAGAUGGGCUGAGACAUUGGGGGCAGCCAUCAGCCCCCACACAGCUGCUGGCAGCUCAGAAGCUGUUCUGAACAACAGCAACACCAAGCCUUGAUGUCCAAGGGCUUCUCCACCCUCCAAGGAGGGCACUCCAGGAAACUGCUCUCCAGAAUUUCCCCACUGCCAGAGCAUCCACACCAAAGCAGAGCUGAAAAGCCUCCACAUCCCAUCCCCUGAAAAUAUGCUGCUGCUUCCCCAUAUCUCGCAAGUCUCUAAACCUUGUCAGGGGACAGCCUUUACUCUAGAUUUAAGGCAAUGUAGUGACUAUAAAUAUUGUCAUUUGAAUGAAAGAGUUGUGAAUAGUAGAUGAGUCCAUCUAUUGCUAAAUGUCAUAUUUAAAUGUUUUAACACUCAGAGUCCCAGGUGCUGCACCAGCAGGUGAGGACACACAGCCCCCCCCAACCAUUUCACUGUCAGUGUUGCUCAGGCAGGACAAGGGGGCCACAGAAUGAGGUGGUGAUGGCACUUUAAAGAUUUGCCAGCACAGCCAUGCCACAGAUGAAUGUGAAGAAAACACCUUCCUGGCUCAGCAUGGUGCUAGCAGUGUCUUUGGACAGGUCCACACCCUUCUGACAGACCAAACCUUGCACCAGCAGAGCCCUGGCUGGCCUGAGGUCUCAUCACACUGAUGCUCACUCUUCACCAGUGCCCACUAAUUAUGUCAGUGGUGAUGGGGAGGUUGUAGCUGCCUGCCUAAUUAAGCCACAGUGGAGAACUCAUCAGCUACUCUGCUCCUGCUCCUUCGUUUUGCAUUAGUAUCUUAUUAUCACAUUGGUGGUGCUUUAUUCCUCCCAUCCUUUUCUCUCAUUUUGGAGGGUGGUGAUUUUUUUUAUUUUAUUUUUGCUCUGUUUUUACAACUCCUGCUCUUUUCCUCCCCAACUGCUUCCACACUUCUGAGCACGGAAGGCAAGAUUUAAUGCAUUGGAACAUCACAAUUAGCCCCAUCAUGCUAAUAACUUAAAGGAAACAAAUAAAUAGUAGAAAUGGUGGCACUUUGGAAAUUCCCCUGUGCUGCGGGAAGAAGGCCUGCUGGUCAGGGCACAUUGAUUUUUUUCUGAAUCCAUCCAUGCAGGAUUCAAGGACAGGACAAAACACUAUUAAGUCAGCAAGCAGAAAGCAGUAAAUAAUGAGGGAGCUGGAGAGGGCUGAGGCUGUGUGCUGACUGAGCCCAGAUAUAAAUUCUGGUGAGCUGUGCACCUCGGCAUCACCAUGACACUGCCUCCGGAGCACCAAGGAAACCCAGACAGGGAACAGGAGCUGGAAAAGCCCCUUGGGACUCCAGAAGUUUUGCAGGUUGUUUGUUGUGGAGGCAGAAAUAAACUCCUUCCCAUCAUCCACAGGAUUCCUUGCUGCUCUGGAAAGCUGUGUGGAUAAAUACCACCUCUUCUGCUGGAGUGCAGCAUGUGUGAGCCAGAUGAAGGCUUUAGCACGGGGGAAGUUUUGCUCAAGAUAGGAUUCUAGCAGCAGGGUUUAACUGGUCAAAGCGCUCUGCCAUCAUCGUAUUGCUGCUCUACCUCUGCUGGCAAAGCGCUUUUCCCCAUGUAGAGAUGCUCUCUGGCCUAAGGCUUGUUUGUGAAGGAAGGAGAGGGGAGAGUCCAACAGAUAAAAGCUUUCCACAGAGCAGCAGGAGGGAGAAGGCAACCCAUUAGCUUUUCCACUUCUUUGUGUGUCUUUGUCAUCUCCUACUCUCGGCGUAUUUCAGCACGUGAGCUUCCCUCAGAGUUCAGGGGAAUUAGUCAAGUACGUAAAAAGCUUUGUGCAAUUGAGUAUUUGCAGGGCUGGGUCCUGGUUAAGUGAUGUCGGGAAAAUAGAAAAGAGAUGAGAUCCCUGCUUGAAGACUCAGCCCUGGUCUGAGGACUCCCUGCUUCUCGUGCUUUGGCCCACACAGAGCUGCAACACGGCCACGCCUUCAGGAGGGUGAAUCAGAGCAUCCCUGCAGAGAACCAAGCACUGCUUGUGACUCAUGGUUGUCAAUUCUUGCGAUUUUCUAUGCUUCACUGUGGGUUUUCUUCCAAAAGUACUGAUGGGCAGCAAGAAAUCAGCUUUCCUUUUCUGGAAGAGGAUAUCUUGCCGCCCUGUUACAAAGAAAAACCUAAAGGAGAUUAAUUCUUCUGGGCCAAAAACCUGUGGACUGGUGAUUACAGAAAGCAGAUUUCCAAAAAAGUCUCGUGAUGUGUUAACUGAUUUUAUGCUUUGGGAUGCUGAUAUAUGACCCUUGGGCCCUGGGAUGGACUGACAACAUUGAAAGAACAUGGUGUCUAAUACAUUUGGAAAGAAAGCUGUGUUUAUUCACAUUGAAAACAUUAAAAAGGAGUGAAUCUGGAAGUAAAUUGGAAAAAAUAUUAUCUUAAUUUACAUUAGCUCUGUAAAAGAGUGGUGGUCAC